AUUGAACGCAGGCGGCAUGCCUUACACAUGCAGGUCGAACGGUAACAGGUCUUCGGAUGCUGACGAGUGGCGAACGGGUGAGUAAUACAUCGGAACGUGCCUAGUAGUGGAGGAUAACUACUUGAAAGAGUGGCUAAUACCGCAUGAGAUCUACGGAUGAAAGCAGGGGAUCGCAAGACCUUGUGCUACUAGAGCGGCCGAUGGCAGAUUAGGUAGUUGGUGGGAUAAAAGCUUACCAAGCCGACGAUCUGUAGCUGGUCUGAGAGGACGAUCAGCCACACUGGGACUGAGACACGGCCCAGACUCCUACGGGAGGCAGCAGUGGGGAAUUUUGGACAAUGGGCGCAAGCCUGAUCCAGCAGUGCCGCGUGCAGGAUGAAGGCCUUCGGGUUGUAAACUGCUUUUGUACGGAACGAAAAGCCCCGGGUUAAUACCCUGGGGUCAUGACGGUACCGUAAGAGUAAGCACCGGCUAACUACGUGCCAGCCGCCGCAGUAA
rnacentral:rRNA from 1 species